rnacentral:rRNA from 1 species
GUCCACGCCGUAAACGAUGAAUGCCAGCCGUUAGUGGGUUUACUCACUAGUGGCGCAGCUAACGCUUUAAGCAUUCCGCCUGGGGAGUACGGUCGCAAGAUUAAAACUCAAGGAAUUGACGGGGCCCGGCCACAAGCGGUGGAGCAUGUGGUUUAAUUUCGACGCAACGCGCAGAACCUUACCAGCCCUUCGACAUCCCGGUCGCGGACUCCAGAGACGGAGUUCUUCAGUUCGGCUGGACCGGAGACAGGUGCUGCAUGGCUGUCGU